UCAUGUGGAAGAUGGAGUUCCACAAAUUCAAUGCAAUGAGAAUAUUUUUGGGAGAGUUUAGGCUUGAUGGAGCUGAGAUUUACAGGCGUGGAACAAAUAAAGAUGUGAAAAUUUCUCUUGGUGGUCAGCUUCUUGGCUAGCUCUAGGUAGGGAGAUAUAUGGCCGUGAGCUAGCCAUGGAAGCAUAAGAAUAGUAAGUUUUCUUUGGUCAGAGUAAACCAUAUUUUGUUUUCCUUUCACUCUUUUGCUUGAGGUUGCUCGAUUAUAGGCUUAUUGGUAGUUUUUUUGUAGCUAGCUCUAUGCAUAUAUAUAUAUAUAUACACACACAUUCAUGGGAAAAGAGGCUUGGGGAUGGGAAAUCAAUUGAUUUCCUAUGUUUGGUAAAGUUCGGGUAUGAGAAAUCGUUGCUUUGCACAUGAGAAAGUAGAGGGGAAAGUGAAGCCCUCCUCCUUCCUUAGGUUUUGUUUUCCUCCUCAUGGGAAAGUUUGGGAAAAUGAGCUAAUAUUAAAUACAUAUUUUUCAUGACCAUAUUAUCCCCAUUAAUAAUUUAGAAUUACAUAAAUGCAUUCUAUUUUUAUUUGAUUUCAUAUGGGUAUAAUUGAAAAAUUAAACAAAUUUUGUUUUACAUUCCUACACAAACCAAACAUGUGAAAGGAAAUAAAGUGGUAUUUCUUGGUUACUUUCCCAAGAUUACCAAACAUAGGAAAGGAAUCUCUAUUUCCCAUCCCUUAGAAAAUGACUUGGAAAGUAAUUUCUCCUCAAAUUCGUUCCGUGAACCAAACGGAACCUGCAUAAUAGAAGUUCCAAAAAAACACGUGAUGAUUGGAUCAUGCAUAUGUAAGUUCCCGAGUGAUGAUUGGAACAAGUUCCUAAUGAUAAAGACUCGAAACAAGAAUAGUUUAAACUUUCUUCUUUGUUUGGCUUGAUAUAAGACGAAUGCACCAAACAAACCGACUAAUUGCUGGCACAAUAUAAAUUGGGGCUACAAUUACCUAAUAAUUAGGUACUAAGGGCUACAAUUACCUAAUAAUAUCAACUUUCAUUAUACAGAUUUGAGAAACAAAAAGUUCAACUUUGAUGACAAGCGAUAUUAAAGGAGGGCGUAAUCAAACUUAGGAUCUUGAGUGUAGAAAUAAAUACUUUUAACAACUUGAGCUACAAGCCUUUUGUAAUAUUAAUGAUAUUUUAAUUAUACGUUUGAAUAGUUCGCUUCCUUCUCUUUUAUUUUCAUUUGUUUAUAUUUAACUCUAAUUUUAUUUAUAUUUUUGGUCAAGGUAAAAAGACUUUGAAUCUCUCUCCAAUGAUUUUCACAGCCGAAACUCCUUUAGUUUCCACAAAUAUUUUUUAAUAUUUCAUGCAUUUGUAAGUUUCCGACUCGGAUGGUUCAUGUAACCAAGAAGUUUAAACUUGUUUUUGCUUGUUCCGCCGACGAAAGCGCAACAAAAGGACAAACUACAACCAAUACUUCUAGUAUCACCAGUUCUCAUUGAAUUUGUUGCCGUGAAUGUUUAGGAUUCUGCCCAAACUAGUAUUUGCGUUUCUGAAUUGUUUGAAAACACAUAUGAAAUUAUGAUUUCUCCUCCCCAGAAGACAAAUUGACGAAGAAGUAUCAUGAUUUUGAUGACACAAAUUAGAAUCCAGGGUUUUCGAAGUGCCUAAUGGACAACUAUUAAUUUAGAAAUAUAUAUAUUUUUUUCGCAAUGCAGAAACACAUAAAUCCCAAGUUUGAAUUCAUCCUAUUUUUGUUUUUGUUUUUUCCUUUUUUAACCCAGAAGAAAAAUUGAGUGCCACUCUGCUAUGUAGAAUGCAAGUUUUAGUUUAGAUUUUUUUUUCUUUUUAGUCUCUUAUUCUACAUUUAGAUCUCAUAUAUUUACUCGCAUUUUAUUAAAUCUAAGUCAUUCAAACAAUCUGACCACUUAACAAAUUACAAGUACUCAAACUUAAAAUCAGAUUGGAUGGACAUGAGGCUUACACUGAUGAUUCUACACGUGCUGAGAAUAGUCCUUUUAUUUCUUUAUUAUUUUCUUGGUCGGGACUCGAGAGACAGGUGUAGUGUAGCGAUGGAGACGAGGCCCGCAAGACAUAAAAGUCUGAAGAAGAGAAGCGUGAAAGCUUCAUUUAGACAGUUAAGUGCAUACGUAACGUAAAGAUUCAAAGACUAUGUCCCUCUCCAAACAGGGAAAGAUCUGAGUUGAAAGCAACAAACUACAGUCACAAUAGGAAAGCAUCUACAACGUAAAGAAAAUAAGUUUACCAGAAGCAUCGGAAAGAUCUAGAGUCUGAAGAAGAGAUACUGAAGUAAUUGUUCAUCGACUGAGCUUAAAUGAAAUAUUAACUCUUUGUUGUGCCAUAAGCACAAGAUCUUAAGAAAAAAAUUCAAGAUAAACCAUAUAAUAUUUUCUAACCCACAAAAUAAUAUAGAAAAUAAAUGCAAGAACAAGAGAAUAGCAAGACACAACGAGGCUGCUUACAAUCAGUGUAAAUGAGCAAACAAAUUCACCAUCAACAAAUUAGCAUGCUUAUGAAGUGUUUUGCAACCUCACAAACCAAGGCGCCAUAUACACCAAAUGACUCUCACUGAAAAACUAAACAAAGAAACACACUCACACUAAUGAAAGCAACGUUACAAGGUAGGAGAUUGAAUAUUACAUUUACAAUACACUCAUAAGUUACAAAAACUAAUUACAAAUAUUUAGCGCAUAGGUUACAUAGAACUGAAAGGGUGGAAUGAUAAGAGCUAUGGUGGUCAUCCACCAACUCAUGCAUUUACAACACCGCCUCUUGAAUGUCCACCAUACAAUACAAUGAUAUAGUUGCGUCAUUAAACACUUUGCUUGAAAAACUAUAUGGGACAAAACUUAGGCUACGGGAAAAAGAGUGCAACACAAAUAAUAUUGAUAUCACAUUUGUCUCUCCUACGGAAUGAGCUUUGGUGAUGUUUGUAUAAAAAUUGCGUACAAACCAUUAUUGGAAGAUUGGGCUAGAGUGGGCUUUACCCUAGUGUUGACUUUGGAAAGAGACAAAUUAGGCUUAGUUGUGUAAAUUCAAUCCAAAAAAAAAUUAAAUAAUAGCCCACAUCUACAGCCAAAUACUUUAAUACUUUAAUUACUAAAGUUUUUUUUUCUUUCUCUCUCUUCUUUGGUUUAUUCAGCUUUUGAUUUGGCUCAAAUAAUGUUUAUAUCUCUCUUUGAUUUUGUUUUUUCAAAUUUAUUGAUGUUGCUUCUUUUGAAAAUUUUGAAAUAUGGACCCUCCCUAACUAAACCACUCCAUUGAGCAAAAGCCCUUGAGCUUCAAAUUUAUCUUCGUCUGAGCCUCUGAAUUUUGGUUUUUUUUAGGUUUUUUUUGUUUGUUGUAGGUUUCUUUGUUCACAUAUCUCUCUAAAAAUAGUAUUUUUCUUAAUGAAUUCUGAAAAUAGUUUUUAAUUUGAAGGAAAUAUACGGAAUUAGUAAAAAAGUAUACCACUUUCAUUAAUCUGAAGGAAAUAUUGCUUUAUAUAUAUUUGUUUAAAAAUAGGGCUUAUAAUUGAUCUCAAAAAAAAAAAAAAAACAAAUAGCCCACCCCUGUAAAUAUUCCUUAGUCCGCCAUUGCAUGGCAUAAUAUUUGGUAUGCUAUGCUAGCAUCUCAUAAGCUCUUCAAGAGACCUGAAUUUUAUGAUAACUUCUUAAAAAAUUUGAAUACAUUUCAACGAUAUUAAACUUGAAUUUGAACUCAUAAUUCAAUCAAAGUACUCAUUGAGGCAAUUUAGAUCAUUUUCAUUUUAAAAAAAUUGGGUGCACACAUUGAGCUUCAUGCUCUUUACCUUCUUAGAGAUUUUAUUUGAGGAAUUUAUAUUGCAUCACAUAUUACAUCUCUUAGGAUUUGUUCUUAUUAUGUAUUCUUUAAGAGAUCUAUUCUUGCAAUAUGCUUCAAACACUUCAUAAUCUUUAUGAAUUUUUCAUGUAGAUUUAAGGUCUCCAUGAAUAUUGAGAUUGAAACAAGGAGUAAAAGAGUUAAAAGUUUAAGAAAUUUUUUCCCUGAUUAUUUUGUAAUUAUAAUGUUGGUGAAAAUCCAAUUUCCUUUCUAGAAUUUGUGAAAUUUGUUAUUUGGCUAAGCUAAAAGUAUAAUUUUGACAAUAAAAAGCAUAUGAAAGUUUCUCUUUGGUUGGCUUCUUGGCUAGCUCUAGGAACGGACAGUGUGGCCAUGAGAUAACCAUGGAAGUAUAAUAAGAAUGCUUGGAUGCUGUGAACAAUCCAUUUUCUGACUCUUUUUCUUGAGGUGGUUGUUUUCUUAUGGCCCAUCAGAGUUUAUGGUCGACAGAUAAGCUUCAAACACAUGCAUUGGUCGUGUCAGUUGCGAUAAACUCUUCCCAACAAUCAACAAUUUCUAAGGUAAUAUCAUCAUUCAAUCAUGUGCUGAAUUUAGAAUUGUUUUCAAAUCAAGGAUUUGUUUUGGAACUCAGAUUUUAAAACAAUUAAAAUUUAAUUGGGAAGACUUUUUGUUUAAAGGAAGUUCGUUUCAAUUCAAAAAAUAAUUUUUCAGUUUUUCAACUCAAAAGUCUUCUCAGUUUUCUUAUUUUUCUUAUUGGCGAGUUUCUUGGUUAACUCUAGGAAGGGAGAUAUGUGGCCAUGAGCUAACCAUGGAAGCAUAAGAACGCUGACCAUGCUUGGAUUUUGAGAAGACUUCCUCUUUUUUUUUUCCCUGACUCUUCUUCUUGAGGCGGUGGUUGGCUUAUGGCCUCAUAAUAGUUUGGUGUUUUUGGAGAUCAUAUGGUGAUGAUCUGAUGGAGAUGAGUCAUAGUUUGUGCUAGUGCAUACGUAAUUCCAAUUUCCUGAUUCAGAUGGGAUAAACUCUUCCAACAAAUUAAGACUCUUAUCAUGCAUACACAUAAGAAGUGGAAAUUUGCUUCUGUCUUAGUUUGGCCUUGAUAUAGGACAGCUCAUAGGAAAGCAUCCAAAACAAUAUUCUUUUUAUUUUUUUUAUUUGAAUACAAGCGAUAUUAGGAGUGUGGGGAUUUGAACACAUGAUUUAGGGUACAGGGUAAUGCUCUUAACUAUAUGAGUUACAAGUCCCUUGCAAACAGUCUGAAAUACUAAAAAUAAAAAAUAGAUGCUCAUCCAUAUGCACUGUCAUGCCCCAACCCUUGGAUUUACAAAACCUUGUGUUAAGACGUGAUUCACACCUUAAUUAUAGAAUUUAAUAAAAACUAUAACUAAAAUGUGAAGAAAACAUUUAAAUAAAUAAAAUAAAUAUUUCACAUAGAAUAUUCAGUGGAAAUGACAACAUGUGAAAUCUUAAAAAUUUUACAUUAUCUUACAAGUUGGCGUGACUUGUGGAUAUUGACUUACUUUCCUUACACACCAAGAAUUCCUAUUAUAAUUGUAAUUGAUUUACUUUAAUUCAUGAUUUCCUACUGUAAAUAGAUUUAAGAAUUUAUUAUUUACUUGCCCAUUCAGGUUUCGUUGUAUUAUAAAUAUGACCUCCUACAAGGAGAAGAACAUACAGAAAAUUCCCACAAACAAAUAUUCUCUCAUAGUUUUCAUAUUUUAGCAUGGUAUCAGAGCGGCAAUCUUGGAAUUGCUGACUCUAGUUUCAAACCCCCGCCGCCGCUAUGGGGGUUGAUGAUUUUUUCAACCAUCAUGGAGGUAGCACCAUCGACUCCUUCUCUCAUUCUCAACUAACCAUCGUUGAGUUGAGUGCCCAGAUGGCUCCGCUCCUACAGAUGCAGACUUUGACCCCAAACCCGAUCCAGAAUCAGGAUCUUCUUUCGACAACCACGACCCCGAUCUCGACUAUGACAACGACGACCCCGACCCCUACUCUGAAGAUGACCCCGACCCCCACUCCGAUGACCCCAACCCCGAAUUUGUCUCUGAUUCAGAACCCGAUCCCGAUUUCGACUCCGACUCCGGCCUCGACUCAGGCUCAGAUUUCGAUCCAAAUUCCUACUCAACUUAUAUCCUAUGCAUCUUCCGCUGCACAGAUUAUGACUUCUAGACUAACGACCCCGACAUAUGGACCAGAUUGCACAUAUUGUGGUGAUCCGAGACACACUUGUGAGACUUGUUUUAAAUCGCAUGGCUACCCCGAUUGGUGGGCUAUUCUUACAGAUCAAGGACAAUGCACCAGUAAUGGUACUGGUUAUGGAUUCCAUACUUCCGAUAAGAUUGAUUCCAGGAGCUGGAUAAUUGAUUCUGGUGCAACUGAUCAUAUGACGUUUGAUCCUGAUGAUUUUCUGAAUACUACACAACCUCGACGAACUUGUAUUGCAAAUGCCAAUGGUGUUACUUAUCCUGUGACAGGGGCUGGCACUGUUGCACUCUCAUCCUCUCUCACACUGUCUAAUACUUUACUUGUUCCAUUUUUAUCCACUAAAUUGUUGUUAGUUAGUCAGCUUACUAAACAAUUGAAGUGUUGUGUACUCAUUUACCUGAGUUUUUGUUUGCUUCAGGAUAUUCACACUAAGGAGAUUCUUGGUCGUGGUACUAAGAGAGGGGGGCUAUAUUAUGUCGAUGACUUCAGUUCCGGCGUGCCUAACAGUGUGACACAUCCCUUUGAUAGCAAACAAAAGCAAAUUUGGUUGUGGCACCUUCGAUUGGGACAUCCGUCUUUCAGUUAUAUGAAGCAUCUUAUACCAGAUUUAUUCUUAGGUUUCAAGGACUCCGACUUCACAUGUGAUACUUGUAUUUUGGCUAACAGUCACCGUGUGCCCUACCUGUUGAGUACGAACAAGUGUACUUGUAAGAUCCCACAUCAACCAACGGAGAGGGGGUGAUGUGCCUUAUAUAUGCACACCUGCAUCCAUCUAGCACGAGGCCUUUUGGGAGCUCACUGGCUUCGGAGUCGUAGGAACUCCGAAGUUAAGCGAGUUGGGGGCUAGAGCAAUCCCAGGAUGGGUGAUCCACUGGGAAGUUGCUCGUGAGCUCCUAGAAACAAAACCGUGAGGGCAGAGAGAGGGGCCCAAAGCGGACAAUAUCGUGCUACGGCGGAGUUGAUCCCGAGAUGUGACAAUUUGGUAUCAGAGCCACUCUGCCGUGUGGUGCGAAUGUGCCGACGAGGACUUCGGGCCCUUAAGGGGGGUGGAUUGUAAGAUCCCACAUCAACCAACGGAGAGGGGGUGAUGUGCCUUAUAUAUGCACACCUGCAUCCAUCUAGCAUGAGACCUUUUGGGAGCUCACUGGCUUCGGAGUUGUAGGAACUCCGACGUUAAGCGAGUUGGGGGCUAGAGCAAUCCCAGGAUGGGUGACCCACUGGGAAGUUGCUCGUGAGUUCCCAGAAACAAAACCGUGAGGGCCAGAGAGGGGGGCCCAAAGCUGAUAAUAUCGUGCUACGGCGGAGCCGAUCCCGGGAUGUGACAAUUGUACUACUCCAUUUACGUUAAUUCACUCUGAUGUCUUGGGACCUUCGCCUAUCACUGCUCCUUCUGGUGUUCGAUGGUUUGUCACAUUCAUCGAUGAUUGUAUACAGAUGACAUGGCUUUAUUUGCUGAAGAAUAAAAACGAAGUGUUUUCCCGUUUUCAGUCCUUCCACAAACAGAUGAAAACUCAGUUUAAUGCUCAAAUCCAGAUUCUUCGCUCAGACAAUGGUGGAGAAUUUGUCAAUCAUGACUUUCAGACUUACUUCCAACAACAUGGAAUUAUCCAUGAGACGACUUGUCCUCAGACACCACAACAAAAUUGUGUUGUUGAACGAAAGAAUUGACAUCUUCUUGAAACCGCCCAAGCACUUCUGAUUGGCGCUCAUGUUCCUCGCUAUCACUGGGAUGAUGCUAUUGUCACCGCAGUUCACCUGAUCAACCGCAUGCCUUCUGGUGUAUUGACCUUUAAAACUCCCUUACAGGUGCUUGCGCAACACAGACCUCUGCUCUCUGUUUUGGUACUCACACCCCGAAUCUUUGGAUGUGUGGCUUUCGUUCAUCUCCACAAAAAUCAACGUAGCAAACUUGAUCCCUGUGCGCUUCGUUGUGUUUUUAUAGGUUAUGCCACUCAUCAGAAAGGCUACCGUUGUUAUCACCCUCCUACCCAACGAACCUAUGUCACUUUGGAUGUGACCUUUCUGGAAUCUGAGUUGUUCUUCCAUGACCCAUCAUCCAAUUCUACGCAUCAGGGGGGGAUACGAAGUGAAGAGCAGAAUUGAAGCAACUUGGGAAAUAAAGAAAUUUUCCUCUGUACAGAAAUGAUUAAUCAUCCUGAGUCUGGAGCACGAGAUUACUCUCUGUCGAAAAGCAACCAAUCGCCCAUUCAUAGCGAUCAAUUGCCUCACCUACCUGAUCCAUGUGAAGAUAUUUUUGAUCCGAGUCUCACACCUACAGACAAUACAGAACAACAAGAUGAAGACUCCCCCUCUAACUCAACAGUACCAACAGACCAAUCUCCUGAGAAUAUCCUUGAGGUAACUACUCCUACUAGAUUUGUGCAUUUAAAUGAUUAAACUAUUGGAUAUCAAUUACCUUUCAGGGAAAAUCGUGGGAAGCCAUCAAACCGUUAUGCACCUGAUAUUGGCAAGACAUCCAAGUAUCCAAUUGCAAAUCAUGUAUCCACUGAGAAGCUGUCUGAACAACUCAAGGCUUUUGUGCAUCAGUUGUCUGCGAUCCAUAUUCCAACCAAGGUCUCUGAAGCAUUAAAAUAUCCUAAGUGGGUCCAAGCUAUAAAAGAGGAGAUGAAAGCUCUUGAGAAAAAUCAGACUUGGACAUUAGAGACUAUACCUCGAGGAAAAAAGACUAUCAGAUGUAGAUGGGUGUUUACUAUAAAACACAAUGUAGAUGGAUCUAUCGAGCAAUACAAGGCAAGACUUGUGGAAAAAGGGUACACACAGACAUAUGGUAUAGACUAUGAAGAAACCUUUGCUCCAGUUGCAAAGUCAAACACCAUCAGAGUCUUAUUGUCCCUUGCAGCUAAUUUGGAUUGGCCACUACACCAGUUUGAUGUAAAGAAUGCUUUUCUACAUGGCGUACUCACGGAGGAGGUGUACAUUUACAUUCCUCCUGGAUAUAAUACUACUUAGACUGGAACAGUUUGCAGGUUACGAAAAGCAUUGUAUGGAUUGAAACAGUCACCACGUGCAUGGUUUGGACAGUUCACCAUGGCAAUGAAGAACAAUGGUUCAAACAGUGCAACUCAGAUCAUACUCUACUCUUGAAACAUCGAAAAGGGAAGGUAACAACAUUAAUAAUCUAUGUUGAUGAUAUGAUUAUUACUGGGAAUGAUAAACAGGAAAUAUCACAGCUACAAGACUAUCUGGCUACGGAGUUUGAGAUGAUGGAUCUAGGUGGACUCAAGUAUUUCUUGGGAAUUGAGGUGGCUCGAUCCCAGCAAGGCAUAUUUCUCUCUCAAAGGAAAUAUGUCUUGGACUUGUUGACAGACACAUGAAUGCUAGAUUGUAAACCUGCGAACACUCAUAUUGUUCAGAAUCAUCAUCUUGGAGAAUAUCAUGAUCAAGUUCCAACUAACAAAGAAAGAUACCAAAGGUUAGUAGGAAGAUUGAUCUAUUUGUCACAUACUUGACCAAACAUUACUUAUGCAAUGAGCGUUGUCAGUCAAUUUAUGCACUCUCCAAGUGAAGACCACACGAAUGCAGUUCUUCGGAUACUUAGAUAUUUGAAGUCUGCACCUGAAAAAGGACUUAUUUUCUGAAAGCAUGGUCAUAUAAAUAUUGAUGGUUAUUCAGAUGUAAUGUAACAGAUAGAAAAUCCACAUCCGGUUACUUAACAUUCAUGGGAGGUAAUUUGGUGACAUGGAGGAGCAAGAAACAGAAUGUAGUAGCUUUAUCCAGUGCAGAAGCCGAGUUCAGAGGCAUGACUAAAGGAAUUUGUGAACUUCUUUGGUUAAGAAAGUUGCUUACUGAACUUGGGUAUAAACCUACAUCCACAAUGAUUCUCUUUUGUGACAACAAGGCUGUUAUAGCCAUUGCACAGAAUCCGGUUCAGCAUGAUCGUACUAAACAUGUUGAGGAGGAUCGACACUUCAUCAAACAGAAGCUUGAGGCUAAAAUGUUUCAGUUUUCUUUUGUGAAAUCCGAGGAUCAAUUGGCGGAUAUUUUGACAAAGGUGAUUUCCAGUAAAACAUUCCACAAUUCACUGGAUCAGUUAGGCAUUGGCGAUAUCUAUGCACCAACGUGAGGGGAAGUGUUGGCGUGACUUGUGGAUAUUGACUUACUUUCCUUACACACCAAGAAUUCCUAUUAUAAUUGUAAUUGAUUUACUUUAAUUCCUGAUUUCCUAUUGUAAAUAGAUUUAGGAAUUUAUUAUUUACUUGCCCAUUCAGGUUUCGUUGUAUUAUAAAUAUGACCUCCUACAAGGAGAAUAACAUACAGAAAAUUCCCACAAACAAAUAUUCUCUUAUAGUUUUCAUAUUUUAGCAAGAACUACUCGAGAGUUUACUAAAAGAGUAGUUCAGUAUUCAUCCACAAGCUAUAUACACAAUACACUCUAUAGAUAUGCCAAAAUCAUCGCAAGCUCUAGAUUUUAGGUUCGAUACCUGCAAAAUCUAUUAGAAGGGUGAGUGAAACCACAGUUUAGUAGGGACAUAAACCUUUUCACGGUAAACUGAUAUAAUUAAAUUAAGUGAAAAAUAAUCACACAGCCAAAUAUCACAUUAUUAAUAACAAUGCAUGAAUGCUCUUCAUUUAACCCGUUAAUUCAUAUAAUUAGACAAGCUUCACGACCCAUACCAUGCUUAUACCACUUAGUCCCGAAUGCCAAUUUAUAUGAAUUAACGCCCAUUUCAAUCAUCCCAUAAUUCCCAUUUUGUUAGUCAUCUUGUCUAACUCCCUGUUGCCAGUCCUGAAUCACCAAAAAAAAAAAACCAUGUGCACUAUGGGAUCCCUGAGUACUAGUACCUGGCAAGAGUUAGACUCAACUACACAAAAGAUCAUUUCUAUUACCCUCUUAUCCACCAUUAUUUUCUCAACUUCAGAAUUCUAGCCAAAUUCCAUGACAUGAUAUAAUUAAAAUUAUGCCUUCACAACAAUGUGCCCAUUUAAAACAUCACUAAUGCACAUAUAAUUAUGCCCACAUUGUUCAAAUAGUUAAGAGUACGUAAAUACCCAAUACAUGGAACGUCAAUCAAACAGUACCACGCAUAAUAUAAUGCUCAAGAAAUUUAAUUAAAUCAAUCUCUGUAAAAGGCCCCUAAGAAACCCCUGCCUUGAUACUAAAGCUUUUGCUAGACCUAUAAGGUGUUUUCCAAUUUUCCACCGCAUUCACAAACUCUGUCUUCUACUUUUUUUCUUACUUCUCUCUACCACUAUUUCUUUCUCGUUUUCUUUGUUUUCACUUGUUGUGCAACUUAAUGUCCUAUAUAUAUACAAGGAACAAGUCGGCAGUAAGUGAUUUCCUAUUGGAUGGUGUAUUCGGUUGUUAUAAACUUACUAGUAAUAGUUAUCAAUGUAGUUGCAGAUGAGGAAGAAUGUUUUUGUGACUCUUCCAAUCCCUCUAAUCCUAUUUCUUAUCUUCUUGGUGAGUUGAUAGCCUCGAUACUUAACAGAUUUUAUACUUUGACACGUAUUAACAAGAACUAUUUUAAAAACAUAUACAUAUAUAUAUAUAUAAUAGAAUAUGUAUAUAUGUAAUACACAUAUUUAUAUAUAAUAAGAAUAAUAUAUAUGUAAUAAGAUAUAAAUAUUUAUUAGAACAGUAUAUAAAAUAAUAUAUAUCAUUCUUAUUAUAACAAUAAUUUUAAUUUUCCCAAAAUAAUAUAUAUUUAAAAAUAUGUGGUUUCACAUGCAUGUCCUUUUUGCUAUAGACACUAUUACAAAAAUCGAAAUAGACAACGGAAAACUACCGUCGUCUGGAAAGUUUUCAAACAGUCGUGAAAUCGACUGUCGUCUCUUUUACAUAAAACAACGACGGCUAUUAACCAACGUCGUUAAUACAUUCCACGUAAAAAACUAUUAUAAACCGACGUGUAAUUACUAUAUAUAUAGCCUAAAAUAAAAUCUUCAACAACCUUAGACGACGGUUUUAUUAAAACUGACACGUCUAAAGAGUGUUACAUGUCAAGAUCAAAACAAGAACCGACGUACAGAUAAUUAUCCACGUCCUAAUUGAAGUAAAAUAGACUUGGAUAACCUAGAAACCGUCGUGGUUAACAUAUACUACGUUAAAUUAACAAAGGCACUUACGUCUAAAAAGUAAAAGACAACACGCGCACAAAGCAACAGACGUUUAAAGCUUAGUACAUGUCAAUAGCCGCUCAAUAACCGCAGUAAAAUGAAUUAACCACGUCCCACAUAUGGCAGAACUGUUGCUUAUGUGAUUAUCCACGUCGCGGAGUAGUAGAACAAAGACGUUGUAACCAUAUUCCACGUCUGUUUCUUGUGAGAAUUGUCGUUUAAAUUAUACAAAGAAGCCCCUUUGACAGAGUUAGACGUUGCUCUUGCUGUAGAACCGACUUCUAACAGGUUUAAAAUGACACAAUAUUACUUAAUACUGCCGUAACAAAUCAUAUCCACGACUGCUGUUGUCAAAGACUGACGUUACAAAAAAUAUUGAAGGUGUUGACAAAAAAGAACCGACAUGGAUUAUGCAUUCAACGUCGUGUGGUCUAAAAAUAAAGGACGUGGUUAAUUUUUUCUCUACGUCAAGUGGAUCCAAUUGCCUGAUGUUGUAAUUCUUUACCAUGUUGGUUUUUAAUACAUGAUGAUGUGGUUGUCCUUUUAAAAGUCGCUUGUUUUACCCUCCUUGACGUGUGUAUGAUAUGAGACGUCAAUUGUUUUAGACUAGCUGACGUGCAGAAAAUCUGUCACGACAAUUAAUGCAACUGAAUUGCCUCUAUUUCCCCCAGACGACGGUAGGUUUUAAGUGUGGAAGUAGUGUUUUACAAAAUCGUAAGUUGGAGUAAUCUACCAUCGUGUUAUUCGAGAAUAUACCACGAUCUUUGUUUUGUACUCGGUCGCUGAUGUUUAUACUACUUAAUAAACUGACAUGUUUUCAGUUUCAGACGGCGGCUUUUGUUUCUUUAUGGUCUUUUGCAUUUUUUUUCCAUGACAUUUUUGAAAGCCUAAUGUUGGUUUUAUUUUAGAAAUCGAUUUUUCCCCUUUUUUUACUGGACCGUCGUACUUUACACAUUUAAUCAAUUUUUUUCAAUUUUUGAUUCAUCGUGCCCAAAGCCUACAUAACGAAAAUGUGAUCAGAAUUAAAAUGAUGUACAAAGGUAUUAAUUAAUGUCAUACAAUUAACUGAAUAACUAAUGUCAUACACUACAACAAUCAAUCAAUCCAUAUAUCUUCACACCCAUCUUUAAUAUUUUCACUCCCAAACUCACCCACUAGGUCAUCAUAUGUGUCAACAUUUGGUAUCCCUCUAGUAAAUGUCUCACACUCAAUUCUAAUAUCACCUAGCACAUCAUCACCAAUAACAUUAUUAUAUUCUCUAUUAUGCAUUGAUAACACUACCGACCAACCACGAUGCAUUGGGUCGUCAGCAUAAAAUACUUGUUUUGGUCAUUCCUAUGUCCAAUUUUACUCAAAUCUACAAAGGUGAAUCCAAGUUCAUCGACAACAAGGCCCAAAGUGUUAUCUAUCCAAUCACACCUCAAGACAAGGAUUCUAAACUUUUGGUAGUCAAGGUCCCAAAUUUCUUGAAUAACACCAUAAAAACCCAUAUUGGAGACAAUAGAGUUUUUAUCCUUAGCACUAGCAACUUGCAUAGUAUGUGCAAGUAAAUAAACUCCACUAUUUUGGACAGUUCGCAUAUCAUCUUGUGCCUUGGUGUUAAAUUUAACACCAUUAAUAAGAUAGCUCCUAUAUGAUGGCAUUGCCAUGCUUGGACUAGCUGCUAGCCACCUCAAAUUUUAUGAUACGCCAUUAUGCUCUUCCCCAUUAAGUUCACUUUGAACUUGCAAAUUAAUCGUAUAUAUCCUAAUUCGAUCUAACAUAUAAAAAGGAAGAAAAUUAAAAGUUGAAUAUGUCAUUCAAUAACAUAUAUACUUGAAAGUGUAGCCAUUGAAUGAAAGUGCUAUUGUGCUUAUCUUGCAGCCACUUUGUUCUCUUUCUAAAUAUUGGAUAAGUGGUCUUGAUGUGGAUCAUAUGUUCCAUACAUUGACACGAAAAAAUCAAGCAUUACGGUCCCUUGUAUAUAAGAUAACAUAAGGAAUAAUAAUAUUUAAAAUGGCUCUAUAUGAAAAAUGGAACUCAUGCGUACUCGAUAUAAGGUAGGACUUCCUCAGUAUUCUCCAAGACAUAUAGAUGUGUCUGGUUCAAAAAACCCGAUCACCUAAGCUUACUGUGCAACCAGAUAAUGGCUUUGAAACUCCCAUCUUCUAGCUUGAAGGCACUCCAACUGUACUAACAUCAGAUAAAUGCUCGGUGCAAAACUCUACAACUUCUUCAGCUAUAUACCGCUCAAUAAUGCAACAUCCGGGACGAGUACGGUUCUGAACAAACCUAUUUAGCACUUUCAUAUGUCUUUCAAAUGGAUACAUCCAUCUAAAAUAUACUGGCCCAUGUAGACGAACUUCUCUGACAAGAUGUACUACUAGAUGAACCAUGAUAUCAAAGAAUGAAGGGGGAAAGUACUUCUCAAGCAAACGCAACGUAACUACUACAUCUUCUUCCAAAUUAUCUAGCUUGGAAACAUCUACUGUCUUUGCACAUAUAGCAUUGAAGAAGAAGCACAAUCGAGUUAUUGCAUACCUUGCAGGCUUCUCCAAACAGAACGAAUUGCCACAGGGAGCAAUUGUUGCAUCAAGGCAUGAAAAUUAUGAGAUUUAAGGCCAAGAAGUCUUGAAUAUUUUUAAGAUACAAGAUUUUUUUAUAUUUGAACAAUAACCUUCAGGGACUUUCAUACCAUAGAAAGAAUUGCAAACCGCUCUCUUAUCUGCUCUUGACAAAUUCUAGGGCCUUGGAGGCAAGCGAGUACGUCUUUCUCAAUACUCGGGUUGCAAAUCAUUUUUGACCCCCAUGUUCAAUAAAUCUAACCGAACAGCAAUCUCAUCUUUAUUUUUUCUAGGGAUCUCCAGCAAUGUACCAAUGAUACUAUCGCAAACAUUCUUCUCAAUAUGCAUAACAUCUUGGACAUGCCUCAUAGGAAGGUAUUUCAAAUACUCGAGAUCAAAGAAUUUUGAUUUCUUAUUCCAACAAACUCUGUCACCAUCAUUCUCAAAAACACUUCCCCCAUUUUUCGAGCCCCAUAUGUAAUUAAUAUCUUCAACCAUGUCCUAUUCAAGUUAAUGGUUCGGGAGGCGUGCCAUAUUCAAGUUUUCCAUUGAAAGCUGCACGCUACCUCCGACAUGGAUGAUUGAUUGGUAACCAUUUUUUAUGACCAAUGUAACAAAUUUUGGGGCCAUUUUCAACCUGUGACUAGGUGUAUCAUCGCCGCAUAUUGGACAAGCUUUAUAUCCUUUAACGACACUGUAACACCCCGACUCUAAAUUAAUCCCUUAUUUAAUUAUUUAAAGAAAAUUACAAAUUUACCCUUAAGAUAGGGGUAUUUUGGUCAUUUUCUUACCCGAAGAGAGUUUGGGGCAGUGACUAGUAUUUUUGGAUAGGUCGUACUGAGACGAGUUCAUAGACACGUAGUGGGCUCGAAUCGAAGUUGUAACGAGAGAGAUAUGGUCAAAAGAAACCCAAUUGCACAAUCAUAAUUAUUUCGAAAUGAGAUUUUUAUAAAAAUCAGAUUUUUUUUUCUCUCUCUCUCUCUCUCCUCGUCGGUCUCUCUCCCUCUCCUCGAAACUCCGGCCAUCGGCCACGGCUGUGGACGGGGCCGGUACCAAAAUGACCGAGGCGUUGUCCUCCUCUAAUCCCAGCUAGGUCCCGCCGUCAGCCGCCAUGGUUUCGCCGGAAAAUGGAGAAGAAGCGGCCGGCGUCGUCCGAAGUUCUCCGCCGUUGAUCUCCCUCUUCCGGUCACCGAUUCCGACGAGUGAGGUAUGGUUUCUCACCUACUUUUCAUGCUCUAGCUGCCUGCUGGGUAUGAUUGGAUUGAUUUUUAGCGUAGGCAAUUCGAUUUUCGCAUUGAAAUUCGGCUAAUUUUGGAAUCACGAUUCCGGCUAGUUCUGGUCAGUUUUUGGGGUAGAUCCAAGAACAAAAGUGGCUCCAAAUAGGGUGUUAUACCUAGGGUAGGAGUUUGGAGCCAUGGUUUUGAGAUUUUCCGGCGAUACGUAAUCGCUUUAGACACCCAACGCUGCCCGCACGUGUGGCAGUGCGUGGGCGAGGGUAGUGAAAUAGCACUAUGUCUCGAUGAGAUCCUUAGGUUGUCACGAGUGCGUAGGAUUUCGCGGAUCUCAAUUCGGACGUCGUUUGACUAUCGAACGGAUUUUCGUAUAUUGCGCGUCAUCCGGGUUCGAUAGGUUGGGACCGUUGGAUGGUCUCGAAUAAAAUAUAUGUUAAUCUAGGUAUUUCUAGGAUCAUGUAGGAAUUCACGGAUUAUAAAUCGGAGCCCCGGAUAUUCCGAAUAAAUAAUUUAAAGUUUAUGUUUUAUAAUAACCGUCACAUCGUGCGAUCGUGAGCGAUCCGACCGGCCGAUCUGGACCAAACUUACAGAACGAGUGUCCUAUACCUUGAAGAACCCAUAGGAAUUUUCAGAUCGAAAUUUGGAGGUCGUGGGCCCCGUGGGCCCAUUUGACUAGGGGUAGGGUAGUUUGACCCUUAGUUGACCGUGAGUCUCCCGGAGUAAUCUCACCUUUCCAGGGGGAUUAUCGGGUGCUAGACUGUUGUUGAGGUUUACACGAUAUUAGUAGUAAAUUAUAUAUUUAUAUACAUUUGUAAAGGUAAAAAAUAAGUCCAGAAUGUCAGUUUGAAGUGCUUUACGCACUACCUUAGGUACCUCCCCGGAUUUUAGUUACACUACAAGUACCACCCUAUGAAAGUUAGGUCCCACGUGGCGUAGGUUAUCCGGCGUGCGGACAGGCCCUAUACGUGGCAUUGGUAGUAUCGGUGUAUGGGGAGAUUACGUGAUAAUAUGUUGAGGUCACACGUGGCGUAGGUUAUCCGGCGUGUUGACAGACCCCAUACGUGGCGUUGGUUGUACCGGCGUAUGAGGAGAUAUUGUGAUAUGAUAUUCAGGUCUCGCGUGGCGUAGGUUAUCCAGCGUUGAGACAGACCCCAUACGUGGCGUUGGUUCUACCGGCGUAUAAGGAGUUUAUGUGAUAUUAUGUUGAAGUCGCGCGUGGCGUAGGUUAUCCGGUGUGUCGACAGACCCCAUACGUGGUGUUGGUUGUACCGGCGUAUGGGGAGAUAUGUGAUAUGAUGUGCAGGUCUCGCGUGGCGUAGGUUAUCCGGCGUUGAGACAGACCCCAUAUGUGGCGUUAGUUGUACCGGCGUAUGGGAAGAUAUUGUGAUAUGAUAUUCAGGUCUCGGGUGGCGUAGGUUAUCCGGCGUGUUGACAGGCCCCAUACGUGGCGUUGGUAGUACCGGUAUAUGGGGAGAUUAUGUGAAAUACAGAGAAAUGAAAUAAGGUAUUGCCUAUGUGUGGAAUUGGGUUUUAAGGAAGAACUACGUGUGGCUUGAUCCCUCAGGGAGGGUACGUAGGCAGCCUAAGGUUAUUAGGUGUAGCCGCGGACAUAGACGUGAUUGUGUUAGGAGGUUAAAACCUCGUAUGUUGAAAUUGAGAAAAUUAGAUGAUGUAUGUUGAAAUUUAGUAGUCGUAAUUUAUAUUUAAAUUUAUCGUUUGCCUUGUUUAAGGCAUGAAUUGAUUUGCUAGCAUGCUUGGUAGUUGAGAAUUAUAGAAAGGCCGAAGGCCGUUUAUGUGAAUUGCAUGGAAUUAUAUUGUGCAUGCUGCCAGUUGUAGUUAUUAAAUGUGUUUUUAUGCAGGUUGAAAUUUUGGGAAAUGUCCAAUUUACAGGGGAGACUCUGCCGAAAUUUCGGCAGAAAGUCUCGGUCUUUAGUAAGUGGGCCUGACAUCGAGGUGAUGUCGGGGAAUCCACAGGAUCCGCCUCGAUUUUUGGAAAAAUCGGGGCGGUUCCUUUCAGACACAACCAGAUAAGUUCUCAUAGGCAGAAAAAUCAUUAAUUGUUCACAGUAAUACACCUAUGAGUGUAAAGUAAUCUCCUAUGUGUGCAUCAUACACUCCUUUAAUCCCAUCCCACAAAGAUUUUAAAUCAUCAAUCAGAGGCUCUAAGUAGACAUCUAUAUCAUUUCCAUUCUAUUUAGGACCAGAAAUCAAUAAGGUCAAUAUCAUGAACUUCCAUUUCAUGCAUAGCCAUGGUGGGAGAUUAUAUGUAACUAAGAUAACCAACAAUUGUAUCUGCUACUUAAAGAACUGUGGGGAUUGAAUCCAUCAGAUGAGAGAGCCAAUCUCAAGUUUCUUGGCUCUUUACUGAACUCGGGCCAUUUAUCAUCAACAAGUUUUUAAGACGGGAAAUUCGCUGGAUGAGACAUAUGACCGUCAAUUGCUUUUCUAGCAACAUGCCAAGUCAAACUCUUAGCUGUCAUAUGUGAUUGAAACAUCCUUUUAAACCUUGGAAUUGGAGGAAAAUACCACACCACCUUCGCUGGCACACUCUUUUUCAAGAUUGAAUCUUUGCAUUCCUUCCACCUUGAGAUACCACAAGUAGGACAAUUAGUUGAAUCUUCAUAAUCAUUCCUAUACAAGAUGCAGUCAUUGGGACAUGCAUGGAUAUUCUCAUAACUCAUCCCUAAAGGAGAUAAUGUCUUUUUUGCCUCGUACAUAGAGGAAUAUAGUGUCUUUCCUUCUGGAAGCAAAUCUCCUUGAAGUAUCAAUAAUUCUAUAAAACAAACAUCACUCAUCCCAUGUUUUGCUUUCAAAUUAUAUAACUUCACCAAAGCCGACAACAUCGUGUACUUACUGCAACCAGGGUACAAGGAUUGAUCUCAAUCCCCAAUCACAUUGGCAAACUCAUAAGGAUCAAAUCCAAUAUCGCCUAAAUCAUUAUCAUCCAUCCCUACUUCUUUAGAAACAAAACUGAACCUACUUUGCUCAUCUUCUUCCACAUUUCUACUAGCAUUAGUAGUCAAUUCCCAAGGUUCUCCGUGCCAUGUGCAAAUCUGAUAGCUUUAGUCAAUUCCAUUAAAGUAUAAGUGGUCCCUCAUAAUUCCAACCCCAAACAAUCGAAUAUUCCCACAUUUAACACAUGGACAACGAAUAUGAGUUGUAUUUCCAAGAUUUUCUACAGCAAAAUUCAAAAAUCCUUCCACCCCUAACUCAUAUGCCUUCGGUCUUCUAUCCGCAUGCAUCCAUGACUUAUCCAUCUCACACACUAUAAAAUCAUAUAUAUAAUAAAGUGAAAAGACCAGCAAUGAAACACUACUUUAUUCACAUAGCAAAGAAUGAAUUGAAAAAAAAAAUUAACCAAGAAUCAGACGACGGUUUUUACAAAAAAAAUCGUCCUGUAACAGAGGGUCAGACGACGGCAUAUCUAGUUAUCGACGUCUUUAAGCUACCCAAACCCAGAUAUUUGUAUUGCUUUUUGAAGAACCGGGUUCUGGGUUCUGGUAAACAAAAGAUGACGGUAAAUGGAGAAACACCGACGUAUCCUAAAACUUGAGACGACGGUUUAUUUCACCAACCGUCGUCGUAGUUUACGAAAAACAGAAGUCUAAAUCUCCCAUCCUCAUUCCUUUUCUAAGAACCCUUAACAAAAUGCAAACAUCAAAAUAUAAAAGAGCCAUAUAUAGCUCCCAAUUAAGAAACCAAAGCUACCAAAACAUAUAUUAAUAAACCAAAGCUACCAAAAUGAACGAAAACAUUUAUGGGUUUUACAAACUAAGAGAAUAUUGAGAGAGAGCUGAGAGAAUAUACUUACAUGGAUAUUGAGAGAGAGCUGAGAGAAUAUAACAAAUGCUUGAGAGAGAGCUUAGAGAAUAUACACAAUGCUUUGAGAGAGAGCGAAAAAUUUAAGACAAAUUUAUGUUGAAGAGAGAGAAGGAAAUAUUUUAGGGUUAAAGGGAAAUUCUGAAAAUUUUAGAUCACCGUCAAAAUUUUCAAAGGACCGCGUUUUUCAAAGACGGCUAAGGAAAACUACCGCCAUUGUAAAUCAUUUUACUACGACGGUUGAGGAAAACUACCGCCAUUGUAAAUCAUUUUUAUGUCGCCUCUAUAAAAACCGACGUCUAAAAUAUUAAAUAAUUAGAUUUGGUUUGCAUUUCGUGGGAUUCUAACGUGCGUAAUUGACCAAAAAGAGCGAGAGAAAACCAGCGUCGUUUCUAUAAAACCUAAACCCUAAACCCUAAACCCUAAACUCUAAAACCUAAACACUGAAAAAAUUAACCAAAAAUUGCUAUGGACUCCUUACAACAAUGCCUUCUAUAUUAGUAGGCUAAAAUCGGGAUUAAAUAAUUUUGAAUUUUAUGACCACCAAUGGAUCACAUAAACCUUAGGGUUAUGUUUAUGGAAAGUAUAAGGAUUAUUGUGUUUUGUCUCUAAAUCUUUUUUACUUUUGUUAUCACUUGUAACUUUGAAAUCUAAAAUUAAAAUUUUCAGGCCUUUAGGGGGGAGAUAUUGUCUCAAUGUGUUUAUAGAAUUUGAGACUGCGAAGGUUCUAGCUGAUUGACUAAGGAUGAGGCAGGAUGGAUGGAAGGUUUGCUUGGAGAUUCUACCUUUGUCAGCUCUUCUGGUUGACAUGUUGUUUAUUCUGCCUGAGGAACUACUUCUAGAUUUUUCCCUUUUCUAGCAGAACUAGUCUCUGGAAGUACUUGUGUGUCAUCCUUAUUCUUGAGGAAGACGCAGUAUUGCCUUUGAACUCUCCUCUUUUGCAUUCUGGUUAGCUUCAGAGUUGGUCUUCGGCUUUUUCCAAUAGAAUAUCAUCUACCUUCUAUGAUAGUUGCAAAGGGCUUGUCAUUUCCAGGCAUCUUAACUGGUAUUUCCUUCUUUGGCUGCUCUAUUAUUCUCUUGUUGCGUUGGGCAGGCCUUAAAUAGUCCUUCUGUCUGGCUCUAUCUCUAGGUGGAGCCGGAACUAGGCCUUGUUGGUAUGAUGUUCCAAUCCUGUCAAAAACACAAGGUGUGGGCUGACUUUGCCUAACCAGAGUUACCUCUAACUCACUUUCACAUUUGCACCUGUUGCACAAAACUACCCCAGCCGAAAUGGUUGCUUUUGGUCUUCAAUUAGCCUAUCUUUGGACUCUUCUGCCUAUGCUGGGGCUAACUUUUGCUGUUAGUUUGCCUUUCUUUUGUUUUGGCCAAUUUAAGUUGACCAUGUUGACUUGAGGUUGGGGAAAAGGGUCUGUUGUUAUCGAAUGAGGUUUCUCAGCCAGUUUUAGCCUCCAUGCUGUUAUUCCUUCCUGUAUGACGUCCCUGAAAACAACACAACUAUUGGUGGAAUGGUCCCAGGAGUUAUGCCAUCUGCAAUACUGUCUGCCCUUGAGUUCCUCUAGCUUGGGCAACUUGUAGGGUGUUUCUAUUGCCUUCUGUCGCAGCAUGUCAUCAAACAGGGCAUCAACCUUGGUUAAAUCGAGGGAAUAGACUUUGUUAUGAGCUGGUUUGUUUGGAACAAACCCUCUUGUGAAUGGUGGUGGCUUUUGGUCCUUUGGUGGCUUUGUUAAAGCCUUGCAACUGAUGAGAUGUUUUAAUUUCCCCAUUUCUGCCACUGCAACUUCUCUCUCCUCCGAGCUUUCUAUGCCUUCUUCUGAUUCUACCUCAACAAGAUUUACUGAAGAGGAUGGGGUUUUGUAAUAUGUGCCUUUGAAAGAGUUCCUCUUCUAUUGUUCUUCCCUGAGCAGCUCCUUGUAUUUAGAUGCUUUGUCUGCUAGUUCUGCCAGAUCUCCAAACAGCAUCCCAUCAAAUUUUUUUCUCAGAGAGAUUUUAAGGGAGAUUUGAGCCAUUUGGAUGAAGUGCCCUUCCUCCAUAGGGAUUCAAAAUUUCAUUUUGAGCUUUUUGAACCUGGUUAUGAAGUCUUGGGCAGGCUCAUCUUCCCUCUAUUUCCAGGUUUGAGGGCAGCAAGAUCACUGAUGGUGACUUCUGGCUGAAUCCUAAAAUAGUAGUCAUGGAAGACAUUUUCCAUCUAUUUCCAGGUUUGAACAGAAUUGGCUGGUAAGCUAGUAUAUUAGAUGAAGGCUUGUCCAGAGAGAGAAUUUCGAAAAAGCCUUAGUUUUAACAGAAGGUUAUUUUCUAUGGCUAUGCACUGGAAAGAGAAUCUGCCUAUAUGCUUAACUGAUGAAGCAUGGGUGUCUUCUCCGUUGAACAAGGUGAAGUGUGGUACCUUAAAGCCCAGGGAUAGAGGUAUUUGAUCGAUAUAAGCUGGAUAAGGCUUUCUGUAGGUGGGCCUUUCUCCUCUUCUGGCCUCAGGUUCCAUCAUCUCUCUGAUCAUUCUAUAAAGUGCCCCCAUGUCAUUCAAAGCAUUGACAUGAUGCGGGGUUCGCCCCUGUUCUGGCUAGUUGUGUUCAAUCCUUUGUUCUACUUUAUAUGGCCUGGGCAGAACUUCCUCCCUAUGCUCUUCCUCUUUUUCGAAAUCUGGAUGAUUCCUUUAGUUUGCCCCCGGUCUGUUUUUGUCAUUGUUGGCAAAGGGUUUAACUCCUACUCUACCUCUCAUGCCACUUGCUAGUGGAGGGAAUGGAUUGGGGUCCAUCCUUCUAGGUCUGUAGGGCAACACAACUGGUUGCUCAGGCAGAAGUGCCAAGGCCUGAUCACGUGGGGCCACUAGUUGUGGAAUAGGUGGAGGUUCUGGCUAGUUCUGAGGGGGUCUGAACUGGUGCAGAGCCUUCUGGAUGAACUGAAUCCUCAUGUUCUUGGAUGGGAAGGGCUCCUCCCCUCUGUCCAGCUUGGAUUUCUCCAUGUCCUGGUAUUCCAGCUAUCUGUGUGAUGAGAGGCUUCUCUUCAUAUGGCCAUGCCAGUCCUGGUAGAGGUCCAAAAGGGAGAUCUAGCUGCUGGACCACCAUGUCUAGGUUUGGAAUUUUGGCAAUAGUAGCCUCACGGUCCUUCCUGAACUGCCUGUUGACUUGCCAUUACAUCAUGGUUGUCAUGUUGUUUAGAGUAUCUUGGCUCAUUUGUGCUGUGGCUUCUUGCCGAAACACAGCCUCCUGUAUCUAGUUUAACCUUCUGGAACCAGACAUGGAACGUCUACUCGUGGUACUGCCAUGGGCUGAUUACCUAGCAUCACUUUCUUUUGACUCAAGUCCUUUUCGGAGAGCUGCUUGAUCUCUUUUCAUGGCAUAGCGUGGAUUCUGGCUAGAACUUCCAAUAUUCAUAUACUAGAGGAUUUUUCUAGAAAUAUAUGUAUUGAGAAGUCCCACUGGGCGUGCCAAAUUGUUCAUCCGUUUUAGAUUUGUUCCUGUGAUGGUAGGGUAAAGUUCCUCAUUGACUUGAAAACCAUUGGUGGUCAAUAAGUCAACUUUCUUUUGUGUACAAAUGUGCCACUGCUAGCAAUAAAAACCCUAGCAGACUUCUUAAAAAUAGAAAACUUGUGCCCAAGUUAUUAACUUCUAAAUAAGCGAUUGUGAAUUUGGGCGAGGAAUAUCUCCCAAGUAAGUUCUUUUCUUUGCCUCAGAUUGGUGAGGACUUCACAAUUUUUCACAGUACAAAACUGGUAGUUCUAGCUAGAAUAAAUGAUAAGAAAGUGAACUGUUUUCAGGCAGAACUACCUUUUACAAAGCUUAAAAAGGAAGACCAACUCUAAAAAGACAAAAAGAGCUUUUGGACUUCAAUUUCUGCUUGGAUAAAUGCUUCUGAUCCGGGCUGGACUGGGUAUGUUUGUGCUGGACUGGACUAUCAACACCUUCAACUGUCAAGUUUUAGCUGUCAAUGAAUACCAAUGUUCGAGUGUGGCAAAGCUUCAAUCUAUUUCAAGCCGUGCAAGGCUUUUUGAACGGACAGAAUUGGAACCUCUUCAGUCUGGAAGGGGUAGAAGUGGCUGAAUUUGGUGAUUACUGAGCUGGAACUGCACUGUAGUACCUGUUCUGCUUGAUCAGGGCUCUCCAUAAAUUUGUUGAGGUUUUAAUAUUGGUAAAACCCGAAGCUUAUGUUGAACCAACUUUGUAACGAGAGAAAUCUUGCUUUGAAUGACUAUUUCUCUGAAACUAAACAGAAGUUAGAGAUUCUGGAAUAUAGCUGACUUGUUUCUUAUGGCUCAAUGAGCUUUUGGUUGCUUCAGUGUUUUGAAGGCUUUUGAGAUCAAGUGAUCAUUUUGAGUUUUUAUUUUUGAUUGAUUUUUUGGCUGUCCUUUUAUCUGUUCACCUCAUCUCAUAUUUAUAGAAUAUACUGGAGUGUGAUUUCUAAUCUUUUAAUAAUGGGCGGCAAAUCUUUUAAAAGAUCUUUUUUUCUUUUUUCAAUGUCAUAAGAGAAGGAAGCUACUAUUCUGACAGAGAAAGGUUGUCAACAAUCAUCUUUCAAUUUUUCUAUGUUCACUUUUUGUUCUUUGUAAAGAGAAAGAACACAAUCUACCAUGAUGGUCAGUGUGCUUUUCCUGUUGAACAACUCCCUCGUUCUCUACUUAUCUCUUGAAAACGUAGUCUGCUUAUCUCUUGGAAAGACCACCUGAUUUGGUGCAGAGCUUCUCUAUAUAUAUAUAUAUAUAAAGGGAUUUUGAUCUUCUUCUUUUGGCUGAAAAAAUAGAGAAGUCUUUCUGUAAGACCUGCCUUCAUUAAUUUUCUAUCAACUUCUCUGUAAUAGUUGAAAAUUUUGACUUUUCAAAGCCAGGUAUUCACGUGGGGUUGUUUAGAAAAGAUCUGUUGAUUUUGUCAAUCUUUUAGGGUAGAGAUUAAAUAGCGUAAAAAGGCUGGGCUAGUCUCUUUUUCUUAGUAGAUAAAAAGCCCAAAUAUUUUGUCUCACUGCCCUUUUCUGGAAAAUAAAUGGGCUGGGUGUGUUGGAAAUUGGCCCAAUCUUAAGAAAGACUCUGGUGGCUGCCCAAAAUUGACAUAGGCUUUUCUUGAUUUUGGGCUGGGCAUGCCAAAUUAGGCCCAAACAAUGCCCCUUAAGUCUGAAUUGUUUUUGGAAUAGUUUCAGACUUAAUGAUUUGGCCAUUAAUUUGUGCGCGCCAUUUCCUUCUGUUAGCCCACAUCUGCCACGUCUGCCUAUUAUGAUCAAGACUUCGUGGGAAAGUGGGCAGUUACUAGCUAGUUAUUAUCAGGUGGCGUCUUGUCUUCUUCUUCCCACGAUUUCGAGUCUUUCUAAGAAAUUUAAAAAGACCUCAGCUCCUGUUUACUCAAAACCUAACUUCUUCAGACCUUGAUUUUCCUCAGUUUUCUCAGAAUUUUUACCCUUUUCUGCGAUCAAACCCUGCUUCCUUUCAGUUUGAUUCCCCUAUCCUAGCUCAAAACCCGAAAAUGUCUUCUCCAAAAAAUCGUGCCCAGACUUCUUCUUAUUCUGUUCCUCCUACCUACAUUACUGGGGCCGGUGUUGAUAAGCAUGUGAUUGAAGUCCGGAGCAAGCUUCAUCCUUUUGCCCAGAACGUUCUGGACAAGAACGUGUUACAUUUGUUCGAGAACACUCUUGUUUUGGAGCCUCAUCGGUUUGGUUCUGUCCCGACUGAAAUGGCAGAAUUGUUUAAAGAAUAUACUGAAGCUCCUCUAUGCUUUCAGAGCUCUUUCGUAGAUUUCAGUUUUAUAUAUAAACUAUCGUGUUUCUCCCUAUAACAUGUCGUUUUUAAGAAUUGUUGUCAAUGUUUUAUUUCCUGCUACUAUAAGACGGCGAUUAUUUAUACAUAUGAGACGUGUAAAUUAGAAUGAGACGUCAGUCUUUGGGAUUUAAAUUAAGUUUUUACGAUUUAAUGUCAUUUUAGUUCAUAUAAGGACAUAAAUGUCCUAACCAAAAAUAUAUUUAUGUACAUUGUCAAUAAAUUAAAAUAAACCUAAACAUUGUUAAAAUAAAUUAGAUCACUUAUUAUUCUGUAAUUACUUGUUAACGAAUUCAGCCCAUUCCAACCUGACUUCGUCAAUAUGUUCUUAUACAUACUGAACUGGUUCCUUUUUCUUAUCAAACUGCAAAUAAAUAACAAAAACCAACGUGUUAUAAAGAUUACAACGACUGCUUUUAAAGAAAAAGUUGUGGUACUAAAAUAAAGAAUUUAUAUCUUAAGUUUUGCCUUUUACCUUCUUCUCAAAUGCUAGGCCUGGAUCAUGAAUUAUAUCUCUCAUGAAAUGCAUCACGUAAUAGCCACACUCUACAUUUGUUGGUUGUCGAGGAGUGCCAUGUAGAUUUUUCCAUAUGACUGAUUUACAUGAUGAUUAAUUGCCUGUGUGAGAGUUAUACAUUUUGAUUGAACUGUUUCAAGAAAAUGAAAAGUGUUAAUGAUAAAAAUAAAAAUCUAAAGCAAAAAUAUUAAACGUCGUGGUAAAUAAGUGAAGACGAUGGUUUUGUUAAAAAAGUGAUGUUGUAUUUCAUUUCAAACGUUGGUAAAUAAAAACCGUCGUUGUGUAGAAUUCUAACGUCGGUGACGAUGAAAAAUGACGUAUAACCAAAAAUUGUUUGUAAAUGAAAGUUGAACAGAAAAAAAUAAAACUUCCUUAAAUGAAAAACACAAACGACGUGGUAUUUCAAUUAAAAUGACGGUUUACAGAAAAUACUGACGUUGUAAAUGAUUUCAAACAUCGGUUUGAAGUUACCAUCGUGUUUUCAUUGUAACGUCGGUAUUAGAAAAAGCCGUAUAUCAUUCAAAUGCAAAUAAAAAAAUGUUAGAUUUUCAUAGAUAAACUUACAUAUUCACUAUAUUUCUCAUGUCCUCGUCAACAACGCGGUUUGGCAAUGAAUCCAUGUAAUAGAUAGUCUCCUUCGCUGGUCUCACAAUUAUUAACACCCAAUGACCCCUACACAUAAUGAUCCAUAUAGGUUAAAUAUACUAGAAAGAAAAAUAGGCAUCAAGUAUAGUUAAGGGGACUAACCUUGGAUUACAAGGCACCAUGUAAAAUUGAUCCCCAUUUGCGUUUUUCAGGCGGUCUGAGAGAUGUUUCAAACGGUAAGAUAACGUUCCAGAUUGAGAGCUGACUUGUCCAAGGUCCACGAAGCCAAUAAGGUUUACCAUAUUUUCUAUUUUUAAAUAGUCAAAUAGGCACCUAAAUAUAUGAAAUUCAAUUAAAUGAGAUUUUAACUUUAAAGAAAGGAAAUGUAUAAUGCAAUCACUGUGGAUCCAAUCUCAACCAUGGAAGGAAAUUGUAAAAUAUCUUCACACAAGAGGAAGGUAUCAUGGUUAAUGCCAAAGGCUUCCUCUGGAAUGUGAAUUCUAAUGGUCUCGUUAAUGGGCUUCAACUUGGUCUCGACAAAUUGAAAUAAGGCUAACAGAGGAGGUGGCAUGUCUAGCUUUGAGAGAUCCUGUUACAACAAAUAAAUAAAGAAAUAUAAGUUAGUUUGUACACUAAGUAAAAUAAACGACUCUAACUAAACCAAUCAAACCGACGUGGUAUAUAAUAUAAUCGACAGUUUCUAGAACAUACUGAAGGAGUAAAGGUUAUAGACGACGGUAAAGACAUAACCAUCGUUAUGUAAAUGUUCUAACGUCGCUGCAUUAUGGAAAGGUCGUCUAAUUAAAAUGCAGUGAAGCCUUUAUUGAAAUACACGACAGUUUAUAAAAUAAACACCGACGUAGUAAAAUACUGAGACGACGGUUAUCAGCAACGUCUAUUUGAAAUUAUAAAUCAGAAAAAAUCAAAUAUCAAAGAUUUUACCGUUUCAUCUUGCCAUUGUUUAGCAACAUCAGCAUCAUUCGUGGGAUUUUCUUCCUCCAAAACAAGGGGUCUCACAUUAGAGCAGCUUGCUUUGUCAGACAUUAGAUUUUUUGGAGUAAUUGGAGUUUUAUUGAGCAAGUUGGGAUCACAGUUGGGAAUUAGUUGACUGAAUUGUUUCAAUAAAAUUUCCCUCUCUGCUCUGACUGCCUCCAAAACAGUUUCUUUUGCCUUAGCUUUAAUCUUUUUGGUUUCUUCUCUCACUGCCUCCAUAACACUUUCCUUCAAUUUGUUAGCAAAUUUUACUCUCUGCUGUCUCGACAAAUUGAAGAAUUGAGUUGGGGAAACCCCAGCUCCAACACCUCUAACUCUCCCACCAUGCUCAGGGGUUCCCAAAGCCAAGGUCAAAAUAUCGUUGCUCUCAGAGACAGCAGAGUGCCCUCGGAAACUUGUUUUUUCAAAUCAUCCUAAAAGUGAGAGAGAGAGAGAGAGAAUGUUAGUGAGUGAACAGAUAGUAAAACAGAUUAAAUAAACAACUAUACAAAAAUAUUAACCGACGUGGUAAAGACUUUAAAAAACUGAAAUCAAUCCCCAAUAGUAACAGGGACCAUGCAGCAACGAUUUGGUUGACAGUAGUAUAGGUUGGAGAUGCUGUUGAUCAUUAGAUACUAUUUUUUUAAAUAUCAAUUCUGUAACAUCCAGACCUAAAAAAUUAAUGAUUUUGAUUUAAAAUUAAAUUUAAAUAAGCAAUUACGAAUUUACCCUUGGGGAAGGGGUAUUUUGGUAUUUUUUUUUUAUUCAGAAAGAGUUUGGGGCAGUGACUAGUAUUUUUGGGUAGAUCGUACUGAGACGAAUCCGUAGACACGCGGUAGGCCUGAAUCGGAGUUGUAACGAAGAAACGGUGACCAAAAUUAGUCCAGUGGCAAACUUGUAAAUAUUUUGAACUUGGGUGUAGAAAAAUCUGAAACUGGCUUCCUCUCUCCUGCGUGCACACGUCCUUCUCUCUCUCUCCUCUCUCUCUCCUCGAUACCAUCACUCUCUGUCUCUCUCUUCGAUUCUCUCAAUUCUGGCCACGGCAAGGGCCGGGACUGGUUCCGAUCAACUCCUCACAAAGCCCCGAACCAGAACCACCACUUUUCUUGGCCGGAAAGCUCGAGUUUCGCGUGGUAAUCUCGACUGGUUUGAACCAGUUUUCCUCCGUCAUUGUGCCGCCGCCAUCGCAGCCCAAUCUCGGUUAAACAAGUGAGGUUUCUUACUCUUUUUCCGAGCUCUAGCUGCCUGUUGGGUAGGAUUGGAUUGAUUUUUUGUCUAGGAUCCCGAUUUUGAAACCUAAGUUUUGACGAAUUUCAAAGUGAAAUUCCGGCCGGUUGCCGUCCUAAUUAGACCUCCCCGUAGUUGAAUAAAGUGAUCCUCGCUUCGAGUAGUAGCUAAGGUAGGAAUGGUGAAUUGCGGUGUGGAGUUUUUCCAUCACUGAAAAUUACUCUACACAUCCACGCGUUGCCAGGGCAUGUGGAGGCGCAUGGGCAAUGUGGUGAGACCACAUUUUAUCCUGAUGUAGUCUCCUAGUCCUCACGUGCGCGUAAGUGUGCUCGAAUUUCAAUUCGAAUGUUGUUUGACUAUCGAACGGAUUUAUGCAUAUUGUUUCUUAUCCGGGUUCAAUAUGUUCGGACCAUUGGAUCGAGUCCAAAUUUACGUAUGUUAAUCUAGGCACCCCUAGGAUCAUGUGCGAAUUCGCGGAUCGUGAAUCGGAGCCCCGAAUGUUCCGAUUCAAUAAUUUGAAGUUUAUGGUUUGCGAUAACCGUCAAUUUCUGACCAAACCUACAGGACGUGUUUCCUAAACCCGUAGUCGGACCUUAGAAUACUCGUUAUGCGUGCACGCACCGGGAACUUGAGAAAAUUAGUAUUUAAUUUGUAAAUUCCGUUUUGAAGUGAUUUUUUAUUAAUUAAGGGUGCGUAUCUCGAAAUAGGUGCUCCAUCACUAGCACGCAGCAGGUAGGACCCUCUUGAGGUCAGGCAGUGUGGGACUACUUGUGAGUGGACAUUUAUUUUAUAUAUGCAUUAUUUUCAAUGAUUGAAAGAAUAUGCAUGAAAUAUAUAUAUUUUUUGGAAUAAAGAUUGAGAAAUUCAUAUGUUGUUAUAUCAGUAUUAUUUAAUUUAGAAUUUGGUUUGAUUUGAUGAUGAGUUAUAUAAAGGUCAAGUUAUUCGUGAUUAAGUCUUGGAUGAAUUUUGGGGGAAUCGGGAAUUGAAUAUUAUGGUUUAUGGUGGGAACUUAUAUGAUUACACUGUGUGGAGUACCAUCCCCUAGUUACUAGGCUUCCCACAUGUGGCGUUGGAAAUUUUCCAGCGUGUGAUGAUGUAGUCUGCACGCAUAGGACUUAGUAUUGGAGCUACACGUGGCGUUGGAAUUUCCGGCAUGUAAGCUAUGGAGUUUCGUCCCCCGGUUGGACCGCUCAUCCCUAGACGCAGGAUAGCAACUGAAAAUCUUGCGGGUUAGCCAAACAAUCCCCCGGUUGGAUUGUUUCCCCGGUACCUAAGUAGUGUGAUAAAUAUUAUGUAUAUUUAUAGAUAUAUAUAUUUCUAUGUGUGUGUGUGUGUGUGUGUGUGUGUGUGUGUGAGUAUAAAUCAGUUAAAGUAUAUGUAGUGGUUGGGUAAGAGCAGUAUAAAUUUUGGGGAUAAAGUUUAUGGAUAGAGUGAUUGAUCUCAAAGGGUUUCGGAGAAUGAUGUUUUUGAUCAUUAAAUAAAAGUUAUGAAUCUGCAUGUCUUGAGCAUUAUUUUUAGACGGUGGGGUUAUUAUGUUGUUUUGAAUGCAAAUUUUGUUUUUCCACUCACAUGUUUUCUGUUUUGCGCCCCCCAAACAGUAGUCGCUCAAGGGAGAGUUGCAAGCCAUGUUCGAGGCCCCGAACUGUGAACAUCAGUAGAUUAGGUUUCGAGUAAUUUCUUUCUACUCAACUGGAUGUUCUUGUAAACUAAAUUCGUUAGAUGCUCUAUUAUUGCCCCUGUUAGGUUUUACUUGUGAGGCCAGAGGCCAUUUAGUUUAUACUGUUGAAUAAUAAAUGCAUGCUGCUGGUUGGGAUUAUAUUGUGCUUAUGCAGGUUGAAAUUUUUGGGAUUGUUCAAUUUACAUGGGAGACUCUAGCAAAAUUUUAGUAGAGAGUCUCGGUUUUUAAUAAGUGGGCCAGGCAUCGGGGUAAUGUCGGAAAUAAGACUGGAUUCGUCCCGGUUUCCGAAGAAUUCGAGGCGGGUCCUGUCAAGUUCCUCCUAUUAACAAUAAUAAAUUAAAUAUUUAUAUAACUGAUAACAGUUCCUCAUAUUAACAAUAAUAAAUUAGUAUUUUGUAUAAUAAACAUGUUUAAUGAAAUUCAUCUUCUUCUAGCAUGUUUAUUUAAAUUCUAAGUUUUCUGAAGAAAAAAAAAAAAAAAAAGGAGAAGGAAAUGUCCUAAAUUAAAUCUUAAAAGUUCAUUUUUUUCUGUCCCUAUAUAUUUUUUACCCAAUUAUAAUUUGAGAAAAAAAGGUGAAUUAACUGUCAUUUCACCUUCAUCAUUUUCAUGAUUUAUAUAAGAUUCUUCAAAGAUCAUUUCCACAAAAAAUUACUUAAAUUCGAAUCCAUUUAACCGUCUAAUUAAAUCGUUAGGACCGUUGAAAUAAAAUUUAAAGUGAGUUUAAAGUGAGUCCUACUAUGUCUCCCUCAAAUAAGAUCAUUUACAGGAUCUGUCGAGUCAUAUGAGAAUGUUUAGCUUUUCGAUCCCAAGAGUUUGGUUCGAUUUUCAUAUAUAUAUAUAUAUAUAUAUAUAUAUAUACAAGUCAAUUUACUUUAAAAAGUUCACCAAAUUUUAUUUUUGGUCUCGGUAGUUUGCUUGAGGGCCUUUUUCUGUCAAUCUAUUUGUUGUGAUUGAAAGAUUUUAUAUAAAACAAAAGAUAUGUUUUUAUCUUAAAAAAUGCUUAUUUUCAGAUCUUUACAUAUAGACAUACAUAUGGCCUGAGAAUUCAAGCAAUAAAGACAUAAGCUGAUGAGCAUUCAUAAUCAUUAGAAUGAGUACUGAAUGGUCAACUCUUUCAAAAUACUUCGGAAAAAAACAAAGGACAAUACUUCCUUCCUUACUCAUAAGAAGGAACUCCUUCUCACCUUCUAUUGUCCCUCAACCACAAAGUAACAAGUGUUCUCUUUUUUUAAUUGUCAAUUUUUUUUUUUUCACUUUUACUGAACCCCUAGCUUUUUACCAAAGCAAAAAACACAAAACAAUAUUCCCAUUGUUUUUUUUUUUCAUUUUGAUUUUUUUCUCAACUUUUUGAAAAAUAACAUUUUUCCUUCUUCAGUAAAAAAUUGAAGUCUUUGUGGUUAAAAGCUAAGGUUUCAGUAAAGGUUUAAAAUAAAUAAAAAGUUUUGACAAUUCAAAAAACAGAACACAUAUCACUUUGUGGUUGAGCCGCAAUAGAAAGUAAGAAAGAAUUCCACCUUACCCAUAAGGAGGGAAGUAUUGUCAAAAAGAAAACAUCUUAAAAAACACACAGAAAACCCACCAUCACUACUUAAAAGAAGUAGAGAAGUCCAACAUUCUGAUUUUUAUACACCUACGUGACGUGAGCAUUCAAUAAUCAUCCUACACAUAUGUUGAUGUGAGCAUUCAAAAUCAUUAGAAUGAUUUAAUUGAAGACUCAACGUACGGACGUCUUUUUCACUUAGAUUCCCUUCCUGUACAAACUUGAAUCAGUUCCUCCACGACCCCAUCAAUCUCUUCAUCCUCUUUCUUGUUCACGUUGUCGCUUAUUUUCAAUGCCUUUUUUCUCACUCCCUCUCCAAAUUUCUCCACAACCACAUCUCUAAUCACCUUUGCGACCUCUUCUCUUUGCAAACUUCCUUCACCUGUUCUCUUAACCUCCACACCAACACCCACCUCCUCCACUAGUCUAGCGUUGAUCGGCUGGUCAAGAUGCAUAGGCAUGGCUAUAAUUGGAACACCAAACUUGAUGCUCUCCAACACUGAGUUCCAUCCGCAGUGACUCACAAACCCCCCAACACUAGAAUGCUGCAGUAUCUUUGCCUGUGGGGCCCAACCCUCCAUUAUCACUCCCUUCUCUCCCACCCUCUGUAAAAACCCUUCUGGUAACACCUCUUCAACCCUAGUACUUCUCUCCUCCUUAGAAAAUCUUAUAACCCAAAUGAAGCUCACUUUGCUAAGCUCUAAUCCGUGAGCUAUCUCUUCUAUUUGCUCCUUGGACAGAAAGUACUCACUGCCAAAGCAAACAUACACAACAGAAGACCUUUCCAUUUUGUUCAGCCAUUUCAUGAUCCAUGUUUCCUCAUCAACUUUUUGAUCCAUUGGCUCUUGAACAAGCGUGCCAACAGGCACGAUCUUCUUCCCCGUUAAAUCAGAGAGAUAAUCAAUAUAUUUUUCUUCAAUCUCGCUGGAUGUCUUGACCAAAAUGAUGUUACAAGAUCGAGCACUGCAUUGCUGAACACGGUCUCCGUCUUUGAUGCCAUUUGCUGAAGAUUCCAACAAAUUGUUGAACUUUUCAGCUUCGUAAUGUUGAAGAUAAAUCGAAGGAAAAGGAAACUUGACACUAGGGUUCUUGAGAUGUUGAAUACUAAAUGAAGUAAAGGCAGCACCCAUGGUGGUGAAUUCAAUGGAUGGAAAAUUUUGCAAUGAAGCUAGAGAGGGCGCCCAUGGUUGAAGAACAUCAUAUAUGAGCAAAUCUGGACUUAGGGUUUUGAGGAUGUUGGAGAAGUUGUUGCUGGACAUGCUGAAAGCCGUUUUGAGAGUGGACAUGAGAUGGGGAGGGAGGCCAUUGGUGGUGUGGUAGUGCGGUGGGAGUUCAGGCAAGUCAUCAUGUGGAAGAUGGAGUUCCACAAAUUCAAUGCAAUGAGAAUAUUUUUGGGAGAGUUUAGGCUUGAUGGAGCUGAGAUUUACAGGCGUGGAACAAAUAAAGAUGUGAAAAUUUCUCUUGGUGGUCAGCUUCUUGGCUAGCUCUAGGUAGGGAGAUAUAUGGCCGUGAGCUAGCCAUGGAAGCAAAAGAAUAGUAAGGCUUCUUUGGUCAGAGAAAACCAUAUUUUGUUUUCCUUUGACUUGUUUUCCUUUGACUCUUUUGCUUGAGGUUGCUCGAUUAUAGGCUUAUUGGUAGUUUGUUUGUGGCUAGCUCUAUGCAUAUAUAUAUAUAUAUAUAUAUAUAUAUAUAUAUAUAUAUACACACACAAAAACGCGUGAUGAUUGGAACAUGCACACGUAAGUUCCAGAGAGUGAUGAUUGGCCUAUGAUAAAGACUCGAAACAAGAAUAGUUUAAAUUUUCUUCUUUGUUUGGCUUGAUAUAAGACGAAUGCACCAAACAAACCGACUAAAUGCCGACACAAUAAUUAGGUACGUAAUAAUAUCAACUUUCAUUAUAUAGAUCUGAGAAACAAAAAGUUGAACUUUGAUGACAAGCGAUAUUAAGGAAGGGCACAAUCGAACUUAGGAUCUCGAAUGUUGAAGUACAUG
rnacentral:lncRNA from 1 species